GAUUCCAAGUCUGGUUCUUCCCAUUACAUUGUUACGUUUACAUAAUUUGCCACAGACAUAGUCUUCUCAAGGUGGUUCCAAAUUUUUUAAAAAUAAAUCUCCUGAAGUAUUGUUGCUGUUGUUGUUGUUAUUCUAACUCUGUUGUUAAUGUAGAGGUAACACCCUAAAGGUCAAGAUCUAAAAGAACGAAAUGCUUAGCUCUUACGUAAUUAGAGCUUUUUAGAAAUACUCCUUUUUAAAUAAGUUUGGUUUUAGAGAAGAUUACAAAGAUUGUACAGAAUGUUCCCAUAUAUCUGUCCCCCAGUUUCUCCUGUUAACAUUUCACAUAGUAAGGACAGGAACUAGGGGCACAGAGCUGAAGGAGACGUCCAUGCCUACAUGCCAGCCCUGCACUUGCCCACUCCAGAAGGUGAGUGCUUCCUUCGAUUUUGUUCCUUAGGCACAUCACCUGCCUCGCCAUAGUCCUAGCCCUAUUUCUCAAAGCUGAGGAAUUAACAUUCACAUUAUACUAUUAACUGCACUGCAGACUUUGUUAAAAUUUUUUUUUUUAAUGUUUAUUCAUUUUCGAGAGACAGAGCGCGAGUGGGGGUGGGGCAGAGAGAGGGAGCCACAGAUCAGAAGCAGGCUCCAGGUUCUGGGCUGUCAGCACAGAGCCUGACAUGGGGCUCGAACGCUUGAACUGUGAUAUCAUGACCUGAGUCGAAGUCUGACACUCAAUACACUGAGCCACCCAUGCACCCCCAUACCUUGUUAAAUUUCAUUAGUGUUUCUGGUAAUGCCAUUUUUCUCUUCAGGAUCCAAUCCAGGAUUCUGCAUUGCAUUUAGUUGCUGCGUCUCCUUAGUCUCCUUCAAUCUGUUACAGUUUCUUGGUGUUUCCUCUUGAAUGAGCGCCCCUAAGCUUAUCUUCUAUCUUCCAAGCAAAACUCCUUAUUUUUUGUGUUAUAUACCAGUCAGUAUAUGUGAAUGGAGAUUCUUUGACACGUAAUAAGAAUGCUGGCAUUGUGGAAUUUAAAACUAAUUUUUGCAUUAAUAAAAAGCCUAUUUAAAAAAUGA